rnacentral:rRNA from 1 species
UACGGAGGGGGCUAGCGUUGUUCGGAAUUACUGGGCGUAAAGCGCGCGUAGGCGGACCUGCAAGUCGGGGGUGAAAGCCCGAGGCUCAACCUCGGAACUGCCUUCGAUACUGCGGGUCUCGAGUCCGGGAGAGGUGAGUGGAAUUCCUAGUGUAGAGGUGAAAUUCGUAGAUAUUAGGAAGAACACCAGUGGCGAAGGCGGCUCACUGGCCCGGUAAUGACGCUGAGGCGCGAAAGCGUGGGGAGCAAACAGG